AUUUAUGGUGGGGCGUGCAGGGCAACCGAAAGGUUGGCCGGGUCUUUACAGCCGGUAGUGCAAACCCUGUACGUCUCACCACCCUA
rnacentral:antisense_RNA from 1 species